AUUAAUUAAUAAAAAUAUAUUAUUCAUGUUGAGUUCCCGGUGUGACUGUAUUUGAUGAUACCCCUAAGAGGUAAUGUGGGUUAAAUGGGCUCAUAGGACUGACUACCUUAUAAAGGGAAAACCAGGCUGCACCUGAUUUUGGACACACACACACACACACACACACACACACACACACACCCGCCUCCAGAUCUUCAAGAGUACAGGUUUCUGUUGUGUAAGCCAUCUGAUCUGGAACAUGGUAUUUCGCUAUAGCCAUCCACACUGUUAAAGGCAGGGGAUAUUCUUACCGUUCUUGCUUGCUUGUUUCUGUGUGGUGAAUAUGAAUUACCUUAUUACUUAAGGAACAAUAAACGUGAGCUCUUUAUCCUUUUGGCUUCACCGUGCUGACAGGGUGAGACAUAAUUCUCUGAGUCUCCUUCGAGAUCAGUGUCUGGGCAGGUGAGGUAAGGUUGCAUCGACAAUCCUUCUCCACAGAGUGAAACUCUGAUGUUUCCUGUGCCCCGGAUGUCCAGAGGUAGGCUUGUAACCCUUUACCCCAAGCCUCACGGGUAACUCGUAACUUACUCUGAACCAUGUUUGUGUUUAAAUCACAUGUCUGAAUGUGUGAGUGGUGCAGGAGCACUCAGGAAGCUGAGGCAGAAGAGUCAUGAAUUGGAGAUCAACCUGAGCUACAAAGUGAGCCCUCACCUCCAACACACAAGCCAGCAACUUCUAAAAGCAAGUGAGCAUUCCCUAUAUAUUCUGCCAGCUCAGUCAGUUACUGAAUCGGAAUUGCUACUGCACUUUUUGACAAAGACCUUGGGGUACUGUGAUGAUUCGUGGGCAUCGGGUAUGUCUGUCCAUCCAGAAGACGUUUAUCUGUGCCUGAAGCGUGAGAGGCAUUGAGCCAAACCCAAGGAGAGCAGCGUUGAAUACAAUAUUCAGAUCUGCUGUCGGCGAGGACGGUCCACUGGGGAGCUAGACAAGUUCACAAGCAUUAUCCACAGCACUCCGGUGGGUGGAAGUAUGAUGGGGAUUCUUUAAUUACUCCUGGAGGCCUUUAUCAGCUAGGGCCUGACCCGGUAUCACACUAUGAGCCGAAGUGGUCAGAACCAGGGAGGAGCUCUCUGCCAGGCUAAUGCUGAGCUCCUCUUCCAGAGGGCACAGAGGCUGGACCAGUGUCUCCCUCUGAGACUAUCCAUCACACCUCCAAGACACAAGGCCUUCCGAGACUAGAGGGAAACUUCUGGAAAAUGAGCCAAGGAUCACCUACCUGAUGCAGGCUCCCUCCUCGACACCCAAAUCCCACUCUCUUGUUGCUAGGGAGCAAUCGGGUGGUUUGGGUGUGUAUUUGUACACUUAAGUGAACACGCAUAUGAAGGUCAAAGAUCAGUGUUCAGUGUCUUCCUUCAACCUUCUCCACCUUGUAUUUUGAAACAAGCUCCCUUGCUGAACCUGGAGCUCACCAACUCAGCUAGACUGUCUGACCAGUGAGCCCCAGGGGUUCUCCUGUCUGUACCUCCACAGCAUCACCCAAAAAAUAAGUGGGUGUCUUGGAGGUUUGAUGGAUAGUGUCAGAAGGAGGCGCUGGUCUAGCCUCUACUCAAUACUCACUGGAAGAAGAGCUCAGCAGAAGCAGGGCAGAGAACUCCUAGCUUUUACACAGGUGCUGGGGUCUGAAUUCAAGAGCUCGUGUUUGCGUGGCAAGCAACCUUAUUGGUUUAACCAAACUCCUGGUCCCCUUUUGAUCCAUGUAGCCCAGGCUCUCUAAGUCAUCAAGGGCAACCUCGCACACCCAAUCUUCCUGUGGCCUUGUUCAACUUAGGUUACAGACUGUUCAGUGUGGCUCCCAAGACCCUCUGUAAACACUAGCAGCCCAACUGAGGACCCAGCCCAUCUCUCCAAGCUCCUUUCUACCCUCCCUGCUGGCUUUCCCUAACUCCUUCUCUGUCUCUUCCACAUAUCAUCGGACUGAAGACACUGAGAAGAGGAUUCUAUCGAGAUCCCUGUGCUCUGUUUGCUUAAUAGCAGGGUAAGGAUCUACAGGGACAAAAGCCUUCUGCCCACUUUCCUACCAGACAGAACCAGAGGAUGCCUUUGUUCUCAUCUUCCUGGAAGCAGACCAGAGGAGUCUACAUUAGCAAGCCUUCCUAAAGCAUGGUGUGCCUGUAAUCACCACACUCGGGACGCUGAAGGAGGAAUGUCCGAGUCAGGGUUUAGUCUGGGCUAUAUCAAGGAGUCUCGUCCCAAAGGGCACAGAGAGCAAUCAGCCUCACCAACCAGCUGUUGCAGGCCUCUUAUUUGCCCAUUUCUAUCCCCAGGCUGACAGCGUGAGCGGCUCAAUGUCCUUCCCCUUUGUCCUGUGAUGUCUCCAGAAUUGGGGAGUUGAAGAUGGUGUGUAAUUUGCAAUUGUAAGACAUCUCUUUAGGAACGGCUUAUUUUCCCGGUGGCUCUGAUGUCUGUGUGAACUCUGCACGUUAACGAACUUAUGGGUCCCCCCGCCACCCCACUUUGUGAAUCUGCCUCUUGUCAAAGGCGGUUCAUCAAGCUAAGGCCUAUGGGAGUUAUUCUCUGACACCUUGGGGGCACUGUGACUUUCUUCCCCUUGGCCAACAUCUGCAGCGUCAGCUUUCUUCUUUCAGAGCUCCCUACACUACUCCCCCUUCCCCUCAGCACUCUGCAACCACCUCAGUCACCCCACAUCCUUGGUGAGGAUAAACAUUUCCCUACUGGGAUUAGA
rnacentral:sRNA from 1 species